rnacentral:rRNA from 1 species
UUUCGCAAUGCCCGAAAGGGUGACGAAGCGACGCCGCGUGGGUGAGGAAGGCCCUCGGGUUGUAAAGCCCUGUCAGGAGUUAAGAAAUGUAGAUUCGCUAAUAUCGGGUCUAUUUGACGAAGGCUCCAAAGGAAGCCACGGCUAACUCCGUGCCAGCAGCCGCGGUAAUACAGAGGUGGCAAGCGUUGUUCGGAAUUAUUGGGCGUAAAGAGCACGUAGGUGGGUUUGUAAGUCAGAUGUGAAAGCCUCCUGUUCAACGGGGGAAUUGCAUCUGAAACUACUGAUCUUGAGUGUAGGAGGGGAGAAUGGAACUUCUGGUGGAGCGGUGAAAUGCGUAGAUAUCAGAAGGAACGCCGGCGGCGAAAGCGAUUCUCUGGCCUAUUACUGACACUCAGUGUGCGAAAGCUAGGGGAGCAAACGGGAUUAGAUACCCCGGUAGUCCUAGCCGUAAACGAUGGGCACUAAGUAGAGGGGUUUU